rnacentral:rRNA from 1 species
UACGAGGGGGGCAAGCGCUGUUCGGAAUUAUUGGGCGUAAAGGGUGCGUAGGCGGUCUGACAAGUCUGAUGUGAAAUCUAUGGGCUCAACCCAUAGUCUGCAUCGGAAACUGUCGAGCUAGAGUCCGGAAGAGGCGAGUGGAAUUCCUGGUGUAGCGGUGAAAUGCGCAGAUAUCAGGAGGAACACCAAUGGCGAAGGCAGCUCGCUGGGACGGUACUGACGCUGAGACGCGAAAGCGUGGGGAGCAAACAGG